CACAUCAGUGUGCCGAAGGACACAUCUAUAGUAAACGCUCCCCCGAGUUCCUUCUGUAAUCUUAAAGGAUGGGUCAAAGUCCUCAGUCGCUUCCUGAAUCUCUGAGAGAGAAAACUCUGCAUAGGGUUGCUGCACAUGUGUGCUUGAGGUAUCUUCGGCUUGUUUUCUUAAAACCUCGUCAGUUAUCUUACGGGUAUUUUCAAGCUCAACCUGCAACUCAUCUUUUUCUUUCUGGCAAAUUUGUAACUGAUCCAGAGUUGCAUCGUGGAUCUCUGAGGCAGACAACUGGUCUGGGUAGAUUUGCUGCAUAUGUGUGCUUGAGGUCUCUUCUGCCUGUUUUCUCAAAAGCUCUUCAGUUACUUUGCGAGUAUUUUCAAGCUCUACUUGCAACUCAUCUCGUUCUUUCUGUGAAAUUUGUAACUGCUCCACAGCUGAUGACAACUGAUCUUCCAAUUGUUUUAUCCUGUAAUC
rnacentral:lncRNA from 1 species